UACAGGGGGGCAAGCGUUGUUCGGAAUUACUGGGCGUAAAGGGUCUGUAGGUGGCCAACUAAGUCAGACGUGAAAUCCCUCAGCUUAACUGGGGAACUGCGUCUGAUACUGGAUGGCUCGAGUGUGGGAGAGGAAUGCGGAAUUCCAGGUGUAGCGGUGAAAUGCGUAGAUAUCUGGAGGAACACCGGUGGCGAAGGCGGCAUUCUGGACCACAACUGACACUGAGAGACGAAAGCCAGGGGAGCAAACGGG
rnacentral:rRNA from 1 species